rnacentral:rRNA from 1 species
GAUCAAGUGAAAUAAGGGCAAUUGGUGGAUGCCUAGGCAUGCACAGGCGAAGAAGGACGUGAUACGCUGCGAUAAGCCGUGGGGAGCUGCGAAUAGGCUUUGAUCCAUGGAUCUCCGAAUGGGGGAACCCACCUCUGAUGCUUGGUAAUCUGGCCCGUCUUCGGACGGUCUUGGUUCCAAGCAUUGAGAAGAGGUAUCUGCACCUGAAAAGAUAGGGUGUAAGAAGCGAACGCAGGGAACUGAAACAUCUAAGUACCUGCAGGAAAGGACAUCAACCGAGACUCCGUCAGUAGCGGCGAGCGAACGCGGACCAGGCCAGUGGCAUCGAGGAAUAAAGUCGAACAGGAUGGAAAGCCUGGCAAGAAUGGGUGAUAGCCCCGUAGACGUAGAACACUCGAUGUCCUUGAGUAGGGCGGGGCACGUGAAACCCUGUCUGAACAUGGGGAGACCACUCUCCAAGCCUAAGUACUCGUGCAUGACCGAUAGCGAACCAGUACCGUGAGGGAAAGGUGAAAAGCACCCCGACGAGGGGAGUGAAAUAGAACCUGAAACCGGUUGCCUACAAACAGUGGAAGGCCGCAAGGCUGACUGCGUACCUUUUGUAUAAUGGGUCAACGACUUAGUGUAACUAGCAAGCUUAAGCCGGUAGGUGUAGGCGCAGCGAAAGCGAGUCUGAACAGGGCGUUCAGUUAGUUGCAUUAGACCCGAAACCAGGUGAUCUAGCCAUGAGCAGGUUGAAGGUUGGGUAACACCAACUGGAGGACCGAACCCGCAUCUGUUGCAAUAGAUUGGGAUGACUUGUGGCUAGGGGUGAAAGGCCAAUCAAACCUGGAGAUAGCUGGUUCUCCGCGAAAUCUAUUUAGGUAGAGCGUCGAUCGAAUACCCCGGGGGUAGAGCACUGGAUGGGCUAUGGGGACUCACCGUCUUACUGAUCCUAACCAAACUCCGAAUACCCGGGAGUACUAAUCGGCAGACACACGGCGGGUGCUAACGUCCGUCGUGAAAAGGGCAACAACCCUAACCUCCAGCUAAGGUCCCCAAGUCAUGGCUAAGUGGGAAAGGAUGUGAGGAUCCCAAAACAACCAGGAUGUUGGCUUAGAAGCAGCCAUCAUUUAAAGAAAGCGUAACAGCUCACUGGUCUAGUCAAGGGUCUUUGCGCCGAAAAUGUAACGGGGCUCAAGCCAUGCACCGAAGCUGAGGCUUAGACAUUCUUACGAAUAUCUAGGGGUAGCGGAGCGUUCCGUAAGCCUGUGAAGGGAGACCCGUGAGGGCUCCUGGAGGUAUCGGAAGUGCGAAUGUUGACAUGAGUAACGAUAAAGGGGAGAGAGACUCCCUCGCCGAAAGACCAAGGGUUCCUGCUUAAAGUUAAUCUGAGCAGGGUUAGCCGGCCCCUAAGACGAGGCGGAAACGCGUAGUCGAUGGGAACCACGUUAAUAAUCGUGGGCCUGGCGGUAGUGACGGAUCGCGUAACUUGUACAGUCUUACUGGAUUGAUUGUGCAGGGAAGCGGUUCCAGGAAAUAGCUCCGCCAUUAUAGACCGUACCCGAAACCGACACAGGUGGUCAGGUAGAGCAUACCAAGGCGCUUGAGAGAACUGCGUUGAAGGAACUCGGCAAAUUGCACGCGUAACUUCGGAAGAAGCGUGACCCCUUUAUACGCAAGUAUUGAGGGGUGGCACAGACCAGGGGGUAGCGACUGUUUAUCAAAAACACAGGGCUCUGCGAAGUCGCAAGACGACGUAUAGGGUCUGACGCCUGCCCGGUGCUGGAAGGUUAAGAGGAGAGGUGCAAGCUUUGAAUCGAAGCCCCAGUAAACGGCGGCCGUAACUAUAACGGUCCUAAGGUAGCGAAAUUCCUUGUCGGGUAAGUUCCGACCUGCACGAAUGGCGUAACGACUUCCCCGCUGUCUCCAACGCAGACUCAGUGAAAUUGAAUUU